rnacentral:rRNA from 1 species
GACGAACGCUGGCGGCGUGCUUAACACAUGCAAGUCGAACGGAAAGGCCCUGCUUUUGUGGGGUGCUCGAGUGGCGAACGGGUGAGUAACACGUGAGUAACCUGCCCUUGACUUUGGGAUAACUUCAGGAAACUGGGGCUAAUACCGGAUAGGAGCUCCUGCUGCAUGGUGGGGGUUGGAAAGUUUGGGCGGUUGGGGAUGGACUCGCGGCUUAUCGGCUUGUUGGUGGGGUAGUGGCUUACCAAGGCUUUGACGGGUAGCCGGCCUGAGAGGGUGACCGGCCACAUUGGGACUGAGAUACGGCCCAGACUCCUACGGGAGGCAGCGGUGGGGAAUAUUGCACAAUGGGCGGAAGCCUGAUGCAGCAACGCCGCGUGCGGGAUGACGGCCUUCGGGUUGUAAACCGCUUUCGCAUGUGACGAAGCGUGAGUGACGGUAAUGGGUAAAGAAGCACCGGCUAACUACGUG